AGUGAACGCUGGCGGUAGGCCUAACACAUGCAAGUCGAACGGCAGCACAGGAGAGCUUGCUCUCUGGGUGGCGAGUGGCGGACGGGUGAGGAAUACAUCGGAAUCUACUCUGUCGUGGGGGAUAACGUAGGGAAAGUUACGCUAAUACCGCAUACGACCUACGGGUGAAAGCAGGGGACCUUCGGGCAUUGCGAGAUUGAAUGCGCCGAGGUCGGAUUAGCUAGUUUGCGGGGUAAAGGACCACCAAGGCGACGAUCCGUAGCGGGUCUGAGAGGAUGAUCAGCCACACUGGAACUGAGACACGGUCCAGACUCCUACGGGAGGCAGCAGUGGGGAAUAUUGGACAAUGGGCGCAAGCCUGAUCCAGCCAUACCGCGUGGGUGAAGAAGGCCUUCGGGUUGUAAAGCCCUUUUGUUGGGAAAUAAAUCCAGCUGGCUAAUACCCGGUUGGGAUGACGGUACCCAAAGAAUAAGCACCGGCUAACUUCGUGCCAGCCGCCGCCGUAA
rnacentral:rRNA from 1 species